rnacentral:rRNA from 1 species
AGAGUUUGAUCCUGGCUCAGGAUGAACGCUAGCGGCAGGCUUAACACAUGCAAGUCGAGGGGUAUAAGUCUUCGGAUUUAGAGACCGGCGCACGGGUGCGUAACGCGUAUGCAAUCUACCUUUCACAGAGGGAUAGCCCAGAGAAAUUUGGAUUAAUACCUCAUAGUAUAGCUGAACCGCAUGGUUCUACUAUUAAAGUCACAACGGUGAAAGAUGAGCAUGCGUCCCAUUAGCUAGUUGGUAAGGUAACGGCUUACCAAGGCUACGAUGGGUAGGGGUCCUGAGAGGGAGAUCCCCCACACUGGUACUGAGACACGGACCAGACUCCUACGGGAGGCAGCAGUGAGGAAUAUUGGUCAAUGGACGCAAGUCUGAACCAGCCAUGCCGCGUGCAGGAUGACGGUCCUAUGGAUUGUAAACUGCUUUUGCACAGGAAGAAACAACUCUACGUGUAGAGUCUUGACGGUACUGUGAGAAUAAGGAUCGGCUAACUCCGUGCCAGCAGCCGCGGUAAUACGGAGGAUCCAAGCGUUAUCCGGAAUCAUUGGGUUUAAAGGGUCCGUAGGCGGUUUAGUAAGUCAGUGGUGAAAGCCCAUCGCUCAACGGUGGAACGGCCAUUGAUACUGCUAGACUUGAAUUAUUAGGAAGUAACUAGAAUAUGUAGUGUAGCGGUGAAAUGCUUAGAGAUUACAUGGAAUACCAAUUGCGAAGGCAGGUUACUACUAAUAUUGACGCUGAUGGACGAAAGCGUGGGUAGCGAACAGGAUUAGAUACCCUGGUAGUCCACGCCGUAAACGAUGGAUACUAGCUGUUGGAAGCAAUUUCAGUGGCUAAGCGAAAGUGAUAAGUAUCCCACCUGGGGAGUACGUUCGCAAGAAUGAAACUCAAAGGGAUUGACGGGGGCCCGCACAAGCGGUGGAGCAUGUGGUUUAAUUCGAUGAUACGCGAGGAACCUUACCAAGGCUUAAAUGUAGAUUGACCGGUUUGGAAACAGACUUUUCGCAAGACAAUUUACAAGGUGCUGCAUGGUUGUCGUCAGCUCGUGCCGUGAGGUGUCAGGUUAAGUCCUAUAACGAGCGCAACCCCUGUUGUUAGUUGCCAGCGAGUCAUGUCGGGAACUCUAACAAGACUGCCAGUGUAAACUGUGAGGAAGGUGGGGAUGACGUCAAAUCAUCACGGCCCUUACGCCUUGGGCUACACACGUGCUACAAUGGCCGGUACAGAGAGCAGCCACUGGGCGACCAGGAGCGAAUCUAUAAAACCGGUCACAGUUCGGAUCGGAGUCUGCAACUCGACUCCGUGAAGCUGGAAUCGCUAGUAAUCGGAUAUCAGCCAUGAUCCGGUGAAUACGUUCCCGGGCCUUGUACACACCGCCCGUCAAGCCAUGGAAGCUGGGGGUGCCUGAAGUCGGUGACCGCAAGGAGCUGCCUAGGGUAAAACUGGUAACUAGGGCUAAGUCGGAACAAGGUAGCCGUACCGGAAGGUGCGGCUG